AGGUUACAGUGCCAAAAAAUAUAUUCACCUGAUGGCUGCCACUGCAACUGACAGCCCAUAUGGGGGCAUGCAUGUUUUACAAACAGACCUUGUUAAAUUGGCUGCUGAGUCAGGACAACAAUGAUGAGGAUGUGGUGGACAAGAAUGACCUGAGUACGCAGAAGCAACUGCUCAGGACAGAAGAUGACUGUGACGAAAGGCUCAGCCGUAUCAGAGUCCAGUGAUGUGGGGGCAUGAUGGGGUCAUUCCAUGUCUUAAGAUUGCAUCAUGAAAGACAUUUUAGCUGACACUUGCAAGGGAGAGAACUGAAGAUCUGCAACAGCAGUGAGCAUGAGCAUUGUUAUGGAUUAAAUGUCGAACGGCACCAGUCAGUCCUCCAGGUGCCUCAGUCCAGGACAACCCUUCCCCUCCCAUGACCCAUAGCUCCACCCCUUUGACCUCCUGCCUCAAAGCUUUGUUGAACAAUACCAUUCUGCUGGAAUGUCUGAGCAUGUUGAGUUUUCACAAGCUGUUGUCAACAACUGCCGUCUCUGUGGCGAUCGAUCAGCACUCGAGCCUGUGUAGUUUGUUAAGCUCCAGUGCCAAAAAAUAAAAAGUUGGAUACCUUGUUACAUGCUUUGUGGGACUAACAGAGCAACAGCGAAUAAUGGGAGAAAAUCAAGAAACAGUUAAAGAGUUAAAAUUGGAAGCAUGAGCUAUCCAUGGGGGCUACUUCUGAUUUCAAUAGUAGAACCAUAAUGGACAAUCCUGAUUUGUCCUCUAAUGCGUCCAAAAUGUUUAAAACAGACGUGCUUUUGAGGCAGUUGCUGACAAAAAAACUUUUGUUAUGAACACUCAUAACAUGAUGAAUACAUCGGUUGUGGUUUAGGCGCAAAUUCUGCCCAUCAUCGUUAACAAGGUGCUUAAGGUUUUGUUACGAGCACUUCACACUCUAAGACAAAACGGCCUCGCAUUGGAUAUACACUAGAUAAAGCGUUGAAAAAUGACAGCAGUUUUGUUGUGUGGUCAAGUAUGCCCUUUGACUCUCAAUCCGACAUAAGGUAGAACUCAAACUCGGCCCACAGCAAUAUCAGCGAGGCUAGCAGUUUUGUUGUGUGGUCCAGUAUGCCCUUUGACUCUCAACCCGACAUUAGGUAGAACUCAAACUCAAUCCUCAGCAAUAUCAGCGAGGCCAGCGUGUCAUCUCGCCUUCUUCAGCCUCAGCAAACAGUAUUAGCCAACAAGACAACCAUCAUUGAAGUAAAUGUCGAUUGCAAUCCGCACCCCCUUCUUUAACAAAUACUACAACUCGCUCAAGAAAUUAAGUACGAAGACGUCUUGCAUCAGCUUAGCACACCACAUCUUCUCCAAUGUUGGCUACAGCAAUACUUCAAACAGCAGAGCCUUGAUGAGUCCGACUUUCGUCCCAUCGUCGAUGUUGCUUAGCAACGAUUCGAUGCUGGACAUGGACAACUUGUUCCAGACGAGUUGCUAAAGUGGAAAAGAUUUGUCAUUACACAGCAGAUAAAGCAGGCGUUAAGUGACUUUCUGUAUCUGUGACUGACCUCGAUAUGUUGCUCUCGAAUAAUGCGAGUCUGACGCCUGCGGAGCAGACUGUGAUUGAAGCCAUUUAGCAGCAGCUGUUUACUGACAUGCCCGGGCUUGGGUUUGUUGACUUUGGCAUCUGGACUUGCACCAUCUCUGUAUGUAUCCCAUUAACAGCAGCAGCAGCAUUAACAACAACAGGUAGUAGGUCAGCCUCAUUCUGGGAAUGACCUGGACUUGCACCAUCUCUGUCUGUAUCCCAUUAACGGUAGCCGCAGCAUUAACAACAACAGGUAGUAUUUCAGCCUCAUUCUGGGAAUGACC